UACGAACCGUCCAAACGUUAUUCGGAAUUACUGGGCUUAAAGGGUUUGUAGGCGGCCUUGUAAGUGGGGUGUGAAAUCCCUCGGCUCAACCGAGGAAUAGCGCUCCAAACUACAUGGCUUGAGGGAGACAGGGGUAAGCGGAACUGAUGGUGGAGCGGUGAAAUGCGUUGAUAUCAUCAGGAACACCGGUGGCGAAAGCGGCUUACUGGGCUGCAACUGACGCUGAGGCGCGAAAGCGUGGGGAUCAAACAGG
rnacentral:rRNA from 1 species